AAGCCAUUGAAGCAUACACAAACGUAUAAAGAGAUAGCUAUCUUAUUAUAGUCUCUUGUGACUUUCUUUUAUAAGUCCCAACUUAGGACUUGUAGAGACAAAUAAAAAAUGGCUGGUGUUGAAGAUCAAGUUAGUUCUUUACCCAACUCGUUACCGAUAACGCCACGGACAGUAAAUACAGCUCCAAUGUUUCAUCACGAUGAUCAAUUCGGCUCUGUACCCAUAACUCCACGGACAGCGUCUGUAGCACAAACGCCGUCCAUGUUAUCGUUACCAAUAACUCCACGGACGGCUCGAACACCGUCCAUAGUAUCGUUACCUCCUUCACAGUUUCACUCGCCGUCUCUAUCUCGAUCACCGUUACUUUUGACGGGAGAUCAUGCUACAAAUAAACCCGUUAAAACUCCAAGGUCACGUGGAUUAACCCCGCGUUUCAUCACUCCUUUGGGUAGUCCUCUUAGAAAGGCCCUUAAAAUGACAAUAUUGGAUCCACAAGACGCGUGGUUACCAAUCACCGAGUCCAGAAAUGGAAACGCAUUCUACGCUGCCUUUCAUACUCUUUGUUCUGGGAUUGGUAUUCAAGCUCUUGUUCUGCCUGUUGCUUUUACCAUACUUGGCUGGGCUUGGGGUAUCAUUGUCUUAACGGUAGCAUUUGUAUGGCAGCUCUACACUCUUUAUUUAAUGGUUCAACUUCAUGAAAACCAUGAAUUAGGACUACGUUACAGUAGAUACUUGCAACUGGCAUGCGCAACUUUUGGUGAGAACUUAGGGAAACUAAGCUCAGCAUUUCCACUGGGUUAUCUGUCAGCAGGGACAUGUUGCGCGUUGAUUAUUAUAGGGGGUUCCACAGCAAAAUUAUUAUAUGAGACUUUAUGUGGGGCAACAUGUAGUAAUCCGAAGCCAUUAACAGUUGUUGAAUGGUACUUGGUGUUUACAUGUGUGGCAGUGGUUUUAGCUCAGUUGCCAAAUUUGAAUUCAAUAGCUGGAAUAUCUUUAGUUGGUGCUCUUACAGCCGUUGGAUAUUGUACAGCACUAUGGACGGUUUCAGUCGCUGAGGGUAGGCUACCUAAUGUCUCUUAUGAACCUGUCAGAAAGGGAAGCCAAGUUAAUAAGAUAUUUGAUCUUCUGAAUGCUUUUGGCAUUAUUGCUUUUGCUUUCAGAGGCCACAAUCUCAUACUUGAGAUUCAGGCGACAAUGCCUUCAAGUGAGAAGCACCCAUCGCGAGUGCCUAUGUGGAGGGGUGUGCAAUUCGCAUAUCUACUCAUAGCAAUGUGCCUAUUCCCUCUUGCAAUUGGUGGCUACUGGGCUUAUGGUCAUUUGAUUCCAGCAAACGGGAGUGUGUUAACGGCAUUAUUUGCAUUCCAUAGCCAAGAUGUUUCACGAUCUGUGUUAGCUUUGAUAAGUAUUUUUGUGAUAAUAAAUGCGGUGAGCUCAUUCCAACUGUACGGAAUGCCAAUGUUUGACGAUAUGGAAUCAGCUUACACAACAAGGUGCAAAAAAGCAUGUCCUUGGUGGCUCCGUUCGAUAUUCAGGGCGAUAUUUGGGUUCGUGUGCUUCUUCAUUGCGGUGGCUCUUCCAUUUUUGGGUAGCUUUACUGGGCUUAUUGGAGGAAUCGCUCUGCCUAUUACAUUUGCUCAUCCAUGUUUUAUGUGGCUUAAAGUGAAGAAGCCCAAAAAGUACUCUCUAAGUUGGUGGGUAAAUUGGGGACUUGGGCUACUGGGAAUGGGCUUAAGUGGGAUUUUAAUUGCUGCGGGUUUGUAUGUGGUUAUUGACACUGGUGUUAAAAUUAGUUUCUUCAAUCCUCAGUAGGAAUAUACUAGUACCAACUUGGAAAUUAUUACUGAAAAGUUUGGUUUGAACAAGAAUUUAAUUUAUUAUUGCUAGAUUUUAUUCUACUUAUUUAUGGAAUAAAUUUCUUGAUUCCACAUGGGUACGUGUACUUUGCAGCAGUUUUUAUUUGAAA
rnacentral:misc_RNA from 1 species